GUAUAAUUAAGCUUGCCAAAGACAGCAGGAGCAUUUAUGCGUAAAGGUUUUACCGCCUGCCGAGGACAUAAGCAUUUAUUUAAAAUGUUUCAAUGCCCUUUCUGCGUCUUUGUCAGAAAGGGCAUUUUU
rnacentral:sRNA from 1 species